GAUUUUUUCGGUCAAACCAGCGUACCGUAUGUUAAGUGACGGGGGUUUGAGGGACGAACGAGCUAGUAGGGUUCGGAGUCUCCGAAUUCCUCUCAAGGUCAAAGUUUUCUGCUGGCUAGUACUCAAGAAGAGGCCCCUUACAGCUGAUAAUCUCGUGAAGAGAGGGUGGACUGGCAAUACAGCCUGCAUGCUGUGUAGGGUACACGAGAAGACUGUGGACCACCUGUUCGCUCAAUGCGUAUUUAUCAAGUUUAUCAUGGUGAUAGGGAUAGAGGGUGUUCAGACUACAGAGCUAGAAAACGAUGUAUCCCACGUCUGAGAUAGGUGGAAGGUCAAUAAAGGACGGCAUAACACGAGACAUAGCCUUCUGGAUUUAGAUCCGUGCUGGUAGACCAUUUGGAAGGCCAAGAAUGACCUGAUUUUUCGAAACAUCCAACUAGAUCCUAUGUUGGCAGUACACAGAUUAAUACAGCUGCGGAAAUUCUGGGAUCUACACCUCCGUAGUUAGAAGAAGCCUUACCAUU
rnacentral:lncRNA from 1 species